rnacentral:rRNA from 1 species
CCUACGGGUGACAGCAGUGAGGAAUAUUGGUCAAUGGACGAGAGUCUGAACCAGCCAAGUAGCGUGAAGGAUGACUGCCCUAUGGGUUGUAAACUUCUUUUAUAUGGGAAUAAAACGUUCCACGUGUGGGAUUUUGUAUGUACCAUAUGAAUAAGGAUCGGCUAACUCCGUGCCAGCAGCCGCGGUAAUACGGAGGAUCCGAGCGUUAUCCGGAUUUAUUGGGUUUAAAGGGAGCGUAGGUGGAUUGUUAAGUCAGUUGUGAAAGUUUGCGGCUCAACCGUAAAAUUGCAGUUGAAACUGGCAGUCUUGAGUACAGUAGAGGUGGGAGGAAUUCGUGGUGUAGCGGUGAAAUGCUUAGAUAUCACGAAGAACUCCGAUUGCGAAGGCAGUUCACUGGACUGCAACUGACACUGAGGCUCGAAAGUGUGGGUAUCAAACAGGAUUAGAUACCCGUGUAGUC